GGCCUGCUAGCCCAGUCGGUUAGGGCGUCGUGCUAAUAACGCGAAUGCCGUAGGUUCGAUUCCUGCGCAGGCCA
rnacentral:tRNA from 1 species